ACUCACACCUUGCAGGGGAAAUACCAUGGUCAUGAAAAUGGUUUUCCCAGGGAGAGGCUCAUCCGUUGCACUUCAGGUGUGCUGAUCCCUGUGAUUUCCCCAAAUGUGGGGAACUCAACUGCAUAACUUGUGGUAAUGGGGGAUUGCAUUUGUGUUUUCCCUGG
rnacentral:snRNA from 1 species